rnacentral:rRNA from 1 species
UACAGAGGGUGCGAGCGUUGUUCGGAAUUACUGGGCGUAAAGCGCGCGCAGGCGGCCCUUUAAGUCCGUCGGUCAAAUGCCGGGGCUCAACCCCGAUGCAUGCCGAGGAUACUGGAGGGCUGGAGACACGUAGAGGCAAGCGGAAUUCCGGGUGUAGCGGUGAAAUGCGCAGAUAUCAGGAAGAACACCCGUGGCGAAGGCGGCUCUCUGGGACGGUACUGACGCUGAGACGCGAAAGCGUGGGGAGCGAACAGG